GAGCCCCAGGAGGACAGGAAUUUGGCUUUUUAGCUGAGCAGUGAAAAGGCAAGCUGGCAAUUGCCCUUUGGGUCUGCCAGGGAAGGUCAGAGAAAGGCCUCCCCAGGGAUGGAGAGGGAAAGGAAGUGAGGGGGGAAAACAGCUGAGAGACAGACAAGCCUUGGCUGGAAGCGGGAGGGAGAAGCAUCCUCUGAAGGUACCUAGGAGGAUUAAAAGGGGGAAGUUAACAGUGAGAACAAAUAAUAAAGAUUCUUAUAUAUAGCCAAGCUCUGCUCUCUGUGUACUCUGAGACUCUCACGCUUAAGGGUUGGUGUUUGAACUUGGCUUCCAGGAGAGGCAGCUAGUUGGGGAAGAAUUCUGGCUCGAGAGGCAGGAGAUCAGGCUUCUGGUCUAGCUCUGCUGCUAACCCGCUCUGGAGCCCUGGGCCACAGUAUCCCAUAUUCCAGUUGGGCUGGAGAAUAUGCACUCCAGAAGAGUUGUUCUCUGCUCUAUCCCCAGGAUCUAGCACAGGACUGGCAGAAACCUGAUUCAUUUCCAUGGUCUGAAUCAUUGCAAAAUAACUGUAAGUAUUCCUUCUCCGAAAAAUAAUCUCUCCAGGCCAGAUGCCCCACAUGCCCCAGGCUGGUCACAGUAAGCACUAGACCAGGAGGAUGAUGGUGGCACCUUCAAAUGCAAGAGCUGUAGCAGAACCCAGGCCUGAGCACUCUGGAACCUCCUUGAAAUGUUCCCCAUGAUACUUCUUUGGAGCCUCGCAUCUUCCUCCGGGAACACACAUGGCCACCAGCCUGUUGUCCUUGUGCCCCACUCUGCUCUACAUCCUGCUGUGGUCUUCAUCUCAGACUCUGCCAGA
rnacentral:lncRNA from 13 species